CAGCAGCCACGGUAAUACGAAGGGUGCAAGCGUUACUCGGAAUUACUGGGCGUAAAGCGUGCGUAGGUGGUGGUUUAAGUCCGUUGUGAAAGCCCUGGGCUCAACCUGGGAAUUGCAGUGGAUACUGGGUCACUAGAGUGUGGUAGAGGAUAGUGGAAUUUCCGGUGUAGCAGUGAAAUGCGUAGAGAUCGGAAGGAACAUCUGUGGCGAAGGCGACUAUCUGGGCCAACACUGACACUGAGGCACGAAAGCGUGGGGAGCAAACAGGAUUAGAUACCCCCGUAGUCCCUGUCUCUAUACA
rnacentral:rRNA from 1 species